GGGCACGUAGCUCAGUCCGGAUAGAGCGUCGGACUUCUAACUCCGAGCCCCGCGGAGGAAGUUAUCCGACGGUCGUGGGUUCAAAUCCCAUCGUGCCCG
rnacentral:tRNA from 1 species